rnacentral:rRNA from 1 species
UACGUAGGGUGCGAGCGUUGUCCGGAAUUAUUGGGCGUAAAGGGCUCGUAGGCGGUUUGUCGCGUCGGGAGUGAAAACACCGGGCUUAACUCGGUGCUUGCUUUCGAUACGGGCAGACUAGAGGCAUGCAGGGGAGAACGGAAUUCCUGGUGUAGCGGUGAAAUGCGCAGAUAUCAGGAGGAACACCGGUGGCGAAGGCGGAUCUCUGGGCCUUACCUGACGCUCAGGUGCGAAAGCAUGGGGAGCAAACAGG